ensembl:lncRNA
GCUACCCUUUCUUGCUGCUUAUCCAAAGAUGAAAUCUCCCUGCGUUGCUGAAGUGCCUGAGUGCCUGACCAUGGGCAGUACGUGGGCAACCGAGCGUCACCAUGCCCAGCAGACACAAGGCUCCCCCAGCCCUUCUGCCUGAGCGUUUCUGGAAACAGGUCACGGAGAUCUGCUCCGAAGAAGUGGACUCAUCUGUCGUGCAGAGGAAGGAGAAAUAAAAACCUCUGGUAUUAUCUUUUUCCCUACAAAAUAUUAUGGGGAAAGGCUAUGGCGAGAACCUUCCCUGCCGGAUGCCGUCUUCAAUGUGGGUACCCCCGUUUCAGAGCUGGGAUCUGCACCUGGACCUCCCGACAGUCACGUUACCUUCAGGGUACGGGUAUUGAAGAUGAUAUACAGCCAUAAUCUUAGAUUAUGAUGAAGCUGCACCUAAACUUCUGCCAGUAUCGCUUGCUGCACUCAUCCAGAUGCGGAGAGACUGCUGGAAGGAAAGACCAUGUCCAGGGUCCCUCAUCCCCGAGCCAGGAUGCACAGGAGGGCUGCCAGUUGUGUAUCCUCCCUUGUCAUCAUGGAAAUCUGGACCGACUUCAACACAUGCUUAUUUCAAAACAUACAAAUAAGGCAAUCAGAUACUGAUGUUCAGAGCAUUUACCUCCCUGUUUACCCAAAUUUUGUUGAAGAGCCCUUGAGAUAAGUAGGAGUGCUGCAGCCACAGGUGAAAUCUCUCCUUUCUUUAGCCACCUGUAGAUUACUAUGAUAUAUUCUUGUUUGAAACAGCAGCUGCCCAAAAGGAGGUGCUUGUGUGAAUGCUACCUUGAGGGGGGAGACAGUGCAAGGGAGGAUGAAAACUUCUCUGACGUUUUUCAGAAUACAGUUAUGCCCUGAGAAUCACUACUUUACUCCUGUUCCGCAACACAUAAAUACACGUCAGAUGUGUGGUAAACCAAAUUCUCUCAGGAGCUUGUCCUGAAAGAGGAAAAGACACGAUGAUUUAAAGGCUACAUCUGCAGUUCUUGCAGCUGCUUUGGUUCCUGCUGCUGGAGGAAAAUUCCCUGCAUCAACAGCCUCUUGACGCAGGGGCUUGGAGCAGCUCCUGAGGCAAAAACCCAAAUGAACCAAGCACUGUCACUAGCCUGUUGGACAAGAGAGGAGUGGGAAGCCACCGUGCAGCUCACAGGAACGCGGUCACUUCUGCUGUCAGAUGCCCCUUCUGGCAUUACCUUUCCUGCUGCGUUGCAAGUGGAAGAGGACUCCAACCCAUGUAACACUAAUUGCAUUCUCCAAAAUCUGUGGAAAGUAAGAUUAGACCAGGCAACUUCCUAAACAAAGUGAAGGUCAGCAUGGUGUGGUACUGGCUUGGCAUACCCUUGUAUUAAAACUCACAGGAGGAGCUGUUGAAGGCUGUGAAGCCUGCUGGAAUGUCUUCAGUUGUAGGAAACACGUGCGACAUUUCUGUAAGAAGGCAGCUGAAGAUGUGAGGAUGUUCUGGAAUGAAGGCUUGCACAACCUCUGUGUUUUGACGUUAUUCUCCUUGGUGAUUGACUGGGAACGUAGCAGCUCCAGCUACCGCAGCAGUGCGGUGUGAUUCCUUCCAGCCUACAUUGUAAAAACCACCUUCGUAUUAAACAUCGCUCCU